rnacentral:rRNA from 1 species
UACGUAGGGUGCAAGCGUUGUCCGGAAUUAUUGGGCGUAAAGAGCUCGUAGGCGGUCUGUUGCGUCGGCUGUGAAAACCCGGGGCUCAACUCCGGGCCUGCAGCCGAUACGGGCAGACUAGAGUUCGGCAGGGGAGACUGGAAUUCCUGGUGUAGCGGUGAAAUGCGCAGAUAUCAGGAGGAACACCGGUGGCGAAGGCGGGUCUCUGGGCCGAUACUGACACUGAAUCGCGAAAGCUAGGGGAGCAAACGGG